rnacentral:rRNA from 1 species
UACGGAGGAUCCUAGUGUUAUCCGGAUUUAUUGGGUUUAAAGGGAGCGUAGGCGGGAGGUCAAGUCAGCUGUGAAAUGUAUCUGCUUAACGGGUACACUGCAGUUGAAACUGGUUUUCUUGAGUGCGUAAGAGGCAGGCGGAAUUCGUUGUGUAGCGGUGAAAUGCUUAGAUAUGACGAGGAACUCCUAUUGCGAAGGCAGCUUGCUGGGUCGUUACUGACGCUGAUGCUCGAAGGUGCGUGGAUCAAACAGGAUUAGA